UGGGGAUAUUGCACAAUGGGCGAAAGCCUGAUGCAGCGACGCCGCGUGAGGGAAGACGGUUUUCGGAUUGUAAACCUCUGUCUUCGGGGACGAAAAUGACGGUACCCGAGGAGGAAGCCACGGCUAACUACGUGCCAGCAGCCGCGGUAAUACGUAGGUGGCAAGCGUUGUCCGGAAUUACUGGGUGUAAAGGGAGAGUAGGCGGGAUUGCAAGUCCGUUGUUAAAUCUAUCGGCUUAACCGGUAGCUGCGGCGGAAAACUGUAGUUCUUGAGUGAAGUAGAGGCAGGCGG
rnacentral:rRNA from 1 species